AUUUAAAAAGGCAAGCGAACUGAAAGCGCGUGUCUGCUACCCCGUGAACUCUGCUUGGUGCUGCUCUGUUCCCCUUGUUCUCUACUGCUGGAGUCAGAGUCGGCUGUUCCCAGUUUAUUGAUGAGUUGACAGUGAGAGCAGGUUUGUACAAAUUUGGACGUGAAGCCUUUCAGAUGAAGUCCAUCUUCUACAGCAUGGUUGUGUGCUGUAGGGGCUGCUGGUAAAUAAUGUCUGGUGAGAACCGUGUGCCCGCGAGCAGGUCCAGAGCCAGUCACUGAAUUGAUUUGCUCAUUUAUUUAAGGCAAUAUGAGCAAAUUUGUCCAAUAAGGCAGAGGGAACAGACCUUUUUCUGUUUGUGCUGGAUCCACAUCCCAUAAUUACUGUUUCACAGGAUGAGAUGGACUCCUGGAAUCCGGACAGCAGGGAAUAUUAUGCCAAAUCAAAUCGCUCUGUAGGAACAUUGAGGUUGAUUUACAGCAGAGCCGGCUGACCAUGACUAUACACCCGUCAUAUAUAUAUUCAUCCGGGAUCAGAUCCCAUUACAAAACCGCAAGAAUAUGACAUUCAUUAGAUAAUUGGUCUGAUGAAAUGCACAGAAGCAUUAUCUUUUGGUAUUACUUGAUGACUUCUGGGAUGUUUGUGCACUUACAUAGGUGCUAAUAAUUGCUGGAUGUGCAAUGUAACAGUGGUUUAUGAGGAGACCUGCAAAGAAUUCUGGGAGACAUUUAGGACAAAUGAAGAUGUUGCAAAGGUGACCUGCCGUCUGGUCUGUUAACUUCACAUUGAAAGCCACAAAUAAAUGGAUUUCAUAUACAGCCAGUCGAUGAAAGAACUUCAUUUCACCUGUCAAGUGUUUGAUUUCUGUA